CACAUUAGAACUAGGAAUAGCUGACUUAUUUAAGGAAUCUGAACAAUUAGAUCUCCUUCCCCUGAACACGCCCCAAAGAAAAAACAAUGUGUUCCAACACUGGGAGUUCUCUGGAAGCUGAGUGGAUGGGAAUAUCAAGAAUUCAACACCAUCAAAAUAUCCUUUAAGUGCCAAAUCUCUUUUAAUCAUGUUAUCCAACAGAUUCUUGUAGCUUUUUUCAUAACUUUCAAGAUCUUUAGCAAAGAAAUAUAGAGCAAUAUUAUCCUCUUUGGAACCAUUGUCAUGAAACUGUCUUGGCCAUGUGCUCAGGCGAAGCACUUCAUCUAGAGCAAUUUUCUGGGGAAACUGGUUUACCACUUCAAGAACUUUAGGUGAAGCACAAACUGAUAAAUGUGCUUGAAUUCCACCAUACACGUCCAGAAUUUUUCCACCCCUGUGCACUUCGAAGGCCCCCUGCCAGAUAUAUUCAUGCUCCGGGAUGGUUAAAAUCUUUGAAAAGAGGGACAUUGCUGCCAAAGCACAACUAGGUUUUCCAAUUGAAGGGACUGUGGAAUCCAAGUCCCUGGCUUUGAAAGGAAAAACAGCAUCAGUGGAAUGCACAUUCAGCUGCUUCUCAUUAUUAAUAUUUGCCUCUUUGUAAUUCUCUGAGGAACAAAUACCAAUAUUUGCUUGCCCUUCCUCAGUUCCUUCAUCAGAAAUCAUAUUCCUCAUUUUAUUUGAAACCGAAAACUGAUCAUGAGGGGCUAUCUCAAAAGUUACAUCCACAUUUAAUGAGGACAAGCCAUCAGAUUGAUCACUUUCUUUUUUCUUUUUGAAUAUCCCUGGCUUCUUAAGCAUAGCAGCCUCAAUGGCUGCUUUUAAUUUACUACCUUUGCUCAUGUCCUCCCUAACAGUCCUUGCAGCAGAUGUAUCAACAACAGAAGCCCGAGGACUAACAACUGUGCAACAAUCUGUAGCAUGCCCAAUUUCCUUGCACUUUUGACAGGUGAUAUUUUUUUGCCCAGCAGUAAUAGCAGGCCUCAUGCGAGAAACAGAAAUUUCUCUAGAUUUCUCACUCUGAUUUGAUGAUUCCCGUGACCGAGAUAAACCAUCUUGCACAUUUUCAUCUACAUUAUAAUACGGUCGCUCUGCAGUCCAAGAAAAACUCGAAGAGGGUUCAUCCUUUGGGCUAACUUGGUUUAACUUUUGUUCAACAAAAGCACUGCUCAUCCCAUUCACGGGUAAAGAUCGAACAGAAGUAACUGGAAUUUCUGCACCUUUACGAGCUACACUACUGGUUGACCUUGAUAAAGUAUUCAAUUUUCCAUCAGAUUGUGACGCAUUCAACUCUUUGUUGUUGCCUGUGGAUGAUAUCAUCACACUAUCACCACGAGGUGUGAGCUUUUGACUGAUCAUAGGCAUAGAGACAUUAGAACUAGUUGUCACUAAACUACCCAUGGGACGAUCUAAUUUAGAUGAACUUUUACUUUCAAAUGCAUUUCGUUCUUUCACUUGUUUUAAUGCUUUUAUAUCCUGAGCUUGAGAAAUUUUUGAAGAAAGCAUUUUAACUUUUGACUCAGUAGCAUUGGAACGGCCUGAGUUCACUGUUCUAAAUGACAAAGAUUUGCUUAUCAUCCUGGCAGUCCCCUCCUUCAUAUCAAGAGAACGACUUUCUCUACUGCCCUUCUGCUUUUGAGGAACCUCAUCAACAAGUUUUAUCUUUGGUUUGGAAUUUAAAGUAUUGAAUGAAUUGGACUUCAAUAAAGUACCCUUGGGUGUCUGAAUUCGUGGACCAAUAGAAGAACGUGUAGUUUCUGGACUAUCAAUACUGGAGUGAUUGACAACAGAUAUUGGAUGAUCUAGCUUUACUUUCCCUUUAUCUAAGCCCUUGAAAGAACUAUCCCGCAACAGUGCAGCUGUUCUGCUGGGGCUGGAUGACUUAGGAGAUCCAAAACUUGUUUCAACAGCCUGCCUUUUUGAAGUUGAAGCCACCUCCAUUGUUUCUACAUGUCUCUUGCCAGAGCUUGGUGCGUUUGCUUUGUUUGUUCUUUUACCUUCAACAUCUGAACCUUGCCUCUGGUUUUCUGUUUCCUCAGCUAACUUGCAUUCUUCGCACAACCAAUCCACUUCAGGAACUUUCUGAAGCAUUUCUCGCAUGCAAUAGGUGUGUUCUGCACCAUCAGUGCACUUGCUACAUAUAGCAAGCAAAUCUUCCCGACCAGCAUCCCCACAAAUAUCACAUACUUUUACAUCAUGUUCCACAAUUUCUGACUCAUCACUGUCAUCCCCAGAUACGAAUUGCAAAGCAGGCUCCUGAAUAUCUGGUAAUUCAACUGACUCAUUUGACUUCUCAUCUGGUUCAACUUGGUUGGAACAUUUAAUAACUUCAUCCAAUUGAUCUCCACUAACUUUUCUGGUCCCUUCUUCUACCUUUGGAUGAAGUUUCCUCGAAACAUCGAAAGUAUCUAACUUUGUAUCUUCUUCAAAUUGUGUUCCAUUUGUGGUGGACAGGCACCUGCUCUGGACCUUUGGUGAGCUACUGCCAGCAUACACAUCAUGUAAAGGUGUUUCUAUAAACUCUGACUUGGGCAAAAUUAGCGUCUUUCCAGUUCCUUCUGAAAUUUGGCUUGAAACCUUAGAAGAAUCAAACUUUGUAUCUUCUUCCAAAUGUAUUUCAUUUGUGGUGGAGGACAGGCACCUUUUCUGGACCUUCGGUGAACUACAGCCAGCAUAAGCAUCAUUUGAAGGUGUCUCUAACAACUCUGACUCGGGCGAAAUUGGUGCUUUUUCAGUUCCCUCUGAUCCUAAACUACCAACUAAAGCUGAACUACAUGAUAAAUUCUUCCUGUCUACGUUCCUGUUAUGAUGAAUUACUGUUAUACUUGCAUCAUUGGCUCUACUAACACAUGAUAUGCUAUCAUCGUGCCCUUCUAACACUUUGGGAUACUCAUUCUUAUUUGAUGGAGUUAUCUGAUCCAAAAUGCUCUGCGGUUCUGGAAAAAGUUGAUCCACUACAACAUUUCCCCCAGAGGACAAUUUCGGAAGCAUCUCAGACUCAACCGAGGUACCAACUAUAUCAGAACACCUUAUGCUUGCUUUACUUUCCACAUUUUCAGACAAGGAAUCGUGACUCGAAUUGAUGCUGAGCAGAUUACUUGCUUCACUAGUGGUAUGAUGUAAGCUGUCAUUUGCUCUAUUUUUAAAAGGUGAAAGUUCAUCCUCGUUAAUAGAAUUCUGACUUGUUGCAGUUUCACGACAGACUUCAUCAGAAAAUUCGUUGCCCUUUGAUCCCAUACAGGCUACCUUGAGAUGCAUACAAGAUGAACAAGGAGCAGAACACACAUUACAAGUCCCAGACUCUGCUCUUGUACUUGUACGAACCUUACGUCUCAUGGAACGCUUGCCAAAUCUUUUCUCAGAUUGCGAUGGUAACAUAUUCUUCUCAAUAUCUUGUUCAGUUUCCUCUACUGGCCCUUGCAUGCGACAACUCCCCCUCAAGACUGAUGUGAUCUUUAGUUCCCCGAAUCACCUCCGUCGCGUUGUAAAGUUCCUCCACGCUCCGUUCCCUUUGCCCGGCUGCCAUCCCCGCCGCCACCGACACAAUCCGCCGCAAUACAACCACAUCAAAUCCAAUUCAUUUCAAUCACCACAAAUUGCUCAAAAUUUCUCCUUCCGCCUCCCAAAUAGAUACGCAACUCAAUCUCAAAUUGAACACUAAUUAUAUCCCUAUAAUCAACUCCCUAUCUAGGUUUCCCCUUUUUCUCCUAAUCCAAAAAACGAGCAACAAUCAGAGACGAUAUCCCUUUCACUACCUCUAACAAGAGGAUCUGAUACGCAAAUACACACACAAAAAUAAAACCCCCAUCCACCUAUAUAUACGUAUAUAUAAUAUAUAAUAUAUAUGAAAUAAAAAAAAAUACUUAAUGUUAUAGUAAUUAUUAAUAUUACUAUUAUUAUUUUUAUUAUUAUCUAGUUUUAGCCGAAGAAGAAAAACGGAGGUUGUUUAUUUCCACACGCUAUUAGCAUUAUUUGGUUCUUGAUAAUAGAUACUCCUUUCGUGUUGGUCAAAGCGCUGCCCUGUGGCUGGAGCUGUGGUGGCGCAUCGUAUUUUAUUAGCAACAGCG
rnacentral:misc_RNA from 1 species